rnacentral:rRNA from 1 species
UCCGUAGGUGACAAGCGUUGUCCGGAUUUACUGGGCUUAAAGAGCGCGCAGGCGGUCGAUCAAGUCGAGUGUGAAAGCCCCCGGCUCAACUGGGGAGGGUCAUUCGAUACUGAUCGACUCGAAGGCAGGAGAGGGUAGUGGAAUUCCCGGUGUAGUGGUGAAAUGCGUAGAUAUCGGGAGGAACACCAGUGGCGAAGGCGACUACCUGGCCUGUUCUUGACGCUGAGGCGCGAAAGCUAGGGGAGCAAACGGG